CACGCAGGCGGUUUGUUAAGUCAGAUGUGAAAUCCCCGGGCUCAACCUGGGAACUGCAUCUGAUACUGGCAAGCUUGAGUCUCGUAGAGGGGGGUAGAAUUCCAGGUGUAGCGGUGAAAUGCGUAGAGAUCUGGAGGAAUACCGGUGGCGAAGGCGACCCCCUGGACGAAGACUGACGCUCAGGUGCGAAAGCGUGGGGAGCAAACA
rnacentral:rRNA from 1 species